UGCACAGCCAUAAACUUUGAUAGUAUACUACAACCACUAUCCGCCCGGGUACUACGAGCAUUAGCUUAAAACCCAAAGGACUUGGCGGUGCUUUAGAUCCACCUAGAGGAGCCUGUUCUAGAACCGAUAACCCCCGUUCAACCUCACCUUCUCUUGCCCUCCCCGUCUAUAUACCGCCGUCGUCAGCAUACCCUGUGAAGGGAUAAUAGUAAGCAAAAUUGGUAUAACCCAAAACGCCAGGUCGAGGUGUAGCAUAUGAGAAGGGAAGAAAUGGGCUACAUUUCCUUUGUAAGGAAACACGGAUUGUACUAUGAAACUAGUGCAUGAAGGAGGAUUUAACAGUAAGUAGGAAAAAGAGCGUCUUACUGAACCUGGCCCUGAAGCGCGCACACACCGCCCGUCACUCUCCCCAAGCCACUUACAUAUAUUUUUAAAAAACUAAACAGGCAAAGGGGAGGCAAGUCGUAACAUGGUAAGUGUACCGGAAGGUGCACUUGGAAAAAU
rnacentral:rRNA from 1 species